CGAGUCAGUUAUUUACAAAUAUUGCUUUAUAAAAAAAACUAACAAAGAACAAGUGAAGGAAUAAACUAACCCCGAGAUAAACCUGAAAGACCAAG